UACGGGAGGCAGCAGUGGGGAAUUUUGCGCAAUGGGCGAAAGCCUGACGCAGCAACGCCGCGUGAGUGAUGAAGGCUUUCGGGUCGUAAAGCUCUGUCGAGGGGAAAGAAGUGUACUUUGGUUAAUACCCAUUGUACUUGACGGUACCCCUAAAGGAAGCACCGGCUAACUCCGUGCCAGCAGCCGCGGUAAUACGGGGGGUGCAAGCGUUGUUCGGAAUUAUUGGGCGUAAAGAGCUCGUAGGUGGUCUGUCGCGUCUGCUGUGAAAACCCGAGGCUCAACCUCGGGCCUGCAGUGGGUACGGGCAGACUAGAGUGCGGUAGGGGAGACUGGAAUUCCUGGUGUAGCGGUGGAAUGCGCAGAUAUCAGGAGGAACACCGAUGGCGAAGGCAGGUCUCUGGGCCGCAACUGACACUGAGGAGCGAAAGCAUGGGGAGCGAACAGGAUUAGAUACCCUGGUAGUCCAUGCCGUAAACGUUGGGCACUAGGUGUGGGGCUCAUUCCACGAGUUCCGUGCCGCAGCAAACGCAUUAAGUGCCCCGCCUGGGGAGUACGGCCGCAAGGCUAAAACUCAAAGGAAUUGACGG
rnacentral:rRNA from 1 species